ACUUCCGGCCUCCCUGCUCCCACAAAUUGGUAUCCGCCGUGGGGCAUGUCCAGUUUCUUUUUCCUCUACCGAACUACAGACGCAGAGCGGGCUUGUCUUUCCGCUUAACCUCAACCUCGUGUGAUCUGCCAGUUUUGCUCCUGGUUAGCCCAGGACUUUUUAUAGCAUAGAGUUUUAAAGCAAAGGCUUAGAAUCAGACCUGGGUCAAAAUCCUGCCUUCCACCUUCACCAAGGCAGUGUGACCUUGACUUUCCUACAUAAGAGAUUAAAAUGUAAACCCUUAGCCCUGGGCUUGUUUUAGAAUCUGGGCCCCGUCCAUAAUUGUUUCUAUUCUAUUGCGGUACAGGGGUGGGGGUGGGGAACUACAUGCAUGUCCUCUCAGUAUACUGAAACUGGUUGCAUCGAUGGAAAACUUCCAAAGCUUCUUGAAAUAAAGACCCCAAAUUCCAGCGAAACAGCUGAUGCCAGCCAGCUUGAACACCCCUGCCACAGAACAAGGGAAUCAGCCUGAGAAUACAGCUUCUUCAUCUCCCUGUCCCAUGACUUCGCCCUGCACUCUUCAGCCAAUUAAUGAUCUCCACACUUCGGACCACUCCAAAACCCUUAAGAACCUGAGCCUCAAAGUCCUCCUGGAGACGAAUUUGAGGUUUCCUCCUAUCUGUGUUUGGUGGCCCUAUGAUUUAAACCUCUUUCUCUUCUGCAACCUGGUGUCCCAGUGUAUUAACUUGCCAUGGGCAUCAGACAACAAACCUAUAUAUAGUAUCCCAAAUAUAGUGCUCCACUUUGAAACCUGAAGAAAUCCUGCAAUUGAGUUAGCCUUUUGAAAUAAAAAUUAUUUCAAAUUUAAAAAUAUUUAUAUAUGUUCCCACUUAAGAUAUCCACAAGCAUUUGUUUACAACCUUUUAUCUUGCUUUGCAUCUUAAACAUUUUCUGUAUGGCAAUUUCCGUGUCUUCCUAUCAUCUCGGCCAUCUUAGUGCAAAGAUACAAAAUUGUGUGGCUUAUUAAGAAAAAUUACAGUAAGCUAAGGGUAGGUUAAAGGAUCUGAAACUUAGCAGGAAAAAAUGAGCAAAAAUUAAAGCUAUAAAAAGGCAUGGAUCCUGCUCCAGUUCUCUUUGCUUCUCUUUUGUUCUCUGUCUUCCUCACUUUUAACUGCCUUCUUUGUUUCCCUUGAACCUGACUACUUAAAAAAAAAAUUGAAUAUCUAAAUUAUCUCAAGGCUGAAAGGAUUUUUGUUUAGGAAGUAUGAAGAUUAAUUCUAUUAAAUAAAUACUUAUUGAGCAUUCACUAUCAGGGGAAUACUGGAAGAGAGGCCUGGAGUGGAACAUGUCAGAAUGAUCACACUAUUUGUGGGUGUGUAAUCUGGAAGCUGUACCACGAUUAGUUGAAAGAGAGACUGAAGGCAAGAAAAACAGUGUGGUGACUUGGAGAAGAACCAAGACAUAAGGAAAUGAAGACCUACUCUUGGGUGAUGACAGUAAAAAGAAUGGAAUAGGCCUCAGAGACAGGAAAAGGGAGAACUGAUGAGACUCAGUUACUGAUAGGGCUAAAGAGGAGGAAGGACAGGGCGAGGUGGCUCACGCCUGUAAUCCCAGCACUUUGGGAGGCAAGGCAGGAAGAUCACUUGAGCCCAGGAGUUCAAGACCAGCCUGAGCAACAUGACAAAACCCCGUCUCUACAAAAAAUACAAAAAUUAGGCCGGGCGCAGUGGCUCACACCUGUAAUCCCCGCACUUUGGGAGGCCGAACUGGGUGGAUCACCUGAGGUCAGGAGUUCGAGACCAGCCUGGCCAACAUGGUGAAACCCCAUCUCUACUAAAAAUACAAAAGUUAGCCAGGCAUGGUGGUGUGCGCCUGUAAUCCCAGCUACUUGGGAGGCUGAGACAGGAGAAUCGCUUGAACCCGGGAGGCAGAGGUUGCAGUGAGCUGAGAUUGUGCCAUUGCACUCCAGCCUGGUGACAGAGCAAAACUCGGUCUUAAAAAAAAAAAAAAAAAAAAAAAAUUAGCAGGGUGUGGUGGCACACACCUGUGGUUCCAGCAACCCAGGCAGCUGAGAUGAGAAGAUUGCUUGAGCCCAGGAGGCGAAGGCUGCAGUGAGCCGAGAUUGCACCACUGCACUCUACCCAGAGCAACAGAGUGAGACCCUGUCUGAAAAAGACAAAAAAAAAAAAAAAAAGAGAGAAGGAAGGAUUUAACAAGCUUGUGUAUUUCCUCAUCCAUUAAAAUAAAGAAAAGAAAUUGAGCUAGAGAGCUUCUAGUAUCCUGUCCAGCCAUAAAAUUUCAUUGUUUUCUAUUAUUCUGUUACCUGAAAAUGAAAGGAAGAACUAUUUCAGUGGGAGAAGCAGUUUCAAGGAGAAAAUAAUGAAUGUGGUUUUAGACCUCAAAUCUAAAACCUUGAGAAAUUUUCUAGUUCAGUUUUCUCUCUUGAAGUUAUCAUCCUCUCCAUCUGAGACUCUAGGAGAUUAAGCAGUUGGUCUAAGAACACUCAACUAGUCCAUGACAGAGAAUGAGAAUAAAAGCCCUCCCUGUCCUGUGAACAAACUUCUCAUAAAGGCAUCAGCACAUGUAUGUAGAGAUUUCCGGUAGACCCCUAGGGAGAAAACAGAUAAGAGAGAGAAAGAGCAGAAAUAAAGACAUGGUUUGAGAAGACAUCCGUACAGAAUUGAUGAAGUUUCUUGUGGAAACCUCAUUGAUGAGGUUUCCUUCCACAGAGCAGCUUGUGGAAGGAAACUCUAAGAACAAAAUGUAUACAAAAAUGAAAGACUUAAUUAAAAAGUCACCCUGAGAGAAGUAAUUACCAAUGAACGCCACGAGAAACUAAUUUAAUUCCACUGCCAUAUCUGCUAAUCAUUCUGUGAGAUGCUGACUCAUUCUAUACUAUUAACUGGAAAAAAUGAAGAAAAGCUAAAAGUAAUGCAGAAUAAUGGAGGGAAAACUGUAAAUUAAUCAUAACUUUCAUUUACAAAUAAGUGGGACCUAUAAACUUCAAGCACACUGAUAUCCCCAUUUCCCUCAAGUCCCGCUGAUCAAAAUUGACAGGAGAAACAAACCAAAUGGUUUGAUACAAUGACAAAGGUCAUGCAGAAUAUAUGUUGCGGCAAUAUGAUGUACAUUUGGAUUCCUGGUGAAUUUUAUUUUUUCCAAAAUGAAGUACUUCUAAUGUUUCUUUCUAUGAAAGUAAUAAAUAACAAUGAUAACAUAUUCAGAUAAUACAGAAAGGAAUGAAGAAAGUGAAAAUCAUACCUAUGGAUAACUUCUUUAAUAUUAUACCAUAUAUGUAUCAUUUUAUGCAAAUAUAGAUUAUUUAUGAAAAAUAGGAUUAUACAUAUGAUUUUCAUACACAUGAUUUUAGUAACUUUUCAUUUAAUAAUAGCUUUUUAAUCCAUAAACAAUUUAUUCAUAUAGAUAGAUUUAUAUCAUUUUUAAUGCCUAUUAAAUAUUCCCUAGCGAAAUUUUGAGGAUGAUCUUCUUUGAAAAAGUAGAAACUAGGCCAUCUAUAAAGUCUAAUCAAAGUUGAGUAAAGAAUAGAAAAAUAAAAGAGAGUGACUUAAAAUGUGCUGUUUGAACAUGUCUAGUAUGAUGCCAGAUUUUGUUUAAAAACUUUUAGUUUCUUUAAAACUCCCCUUCCCCUUCCCAAUAGCAUCAUUUUCUCUUUAGGGAUUCAUGUUUCCAGAGAAGUGGACUUCACUCUCCCUUCAGAGGUGAUGUAACUAACACAGGCUGUCCAAUCAGUAUAUUUCAUCUCUUUGCACUUAAUGAUUAGCCAGGGUGGGCACUGAUCCUAAAGUAGCUCAGUUGAAUAAUUCUCAGGACUUUUGCAGAGAAUGCUGAUCUUCUCUUUCUUGCUAGACGAGAGGAAGAUGCUGACAGCCAUUUUAGAACCAUAAGAGAAGCCAGUCUUAGAAUGGUGCAGAGACCAAGGUAGGCACAGCAGGGAGAAGGAAAUAAAUAGGGACCUUGAUGACAUAUUGAGUUGUGGGAUCAAGGCCCACCUGAAGCAGCCUCACCGGUUGGCCUGUGGACUCUUCAUUCAUGUGUACCAAUCAGUUUUCUUCAUUGUUUAAACGAGUUUGAAUUGGGUUUUCUAUUACUUAAAAUCAAAUGCAUAGGAAAAAUGCUAAAGGAAAAUGCAACAGUAAUUAUCUCUGAGUGGUAAGAAUACACAUGAUUUAAAUUUUUUUUUUCUGUGCCGAAAAGUUUCCCUUUUUCUUGAUAAAAUUAAUAUACAAAGUAUGUAUUUUGGCUAUAUGGAAAUCUUUUAAAACAAAUUUUAAAAUGAUGAUCGUUUAUUAAACCCGGAAGAUAUAUAAAAUCCACCCAUAAAAUAGAAUGAUUUAAGAGCACGGAUAUGAUGCAGCCUAUGACCUUAGAGAAGACAAAGGCCUUGCUUUUGUUGAUCUUUGUAUUCUCAGCAUUUAGAAUAGUGCUUUCCCUGACAUAUGGCAGGCAUUCUGUAAAUGGUUUUUGAAUGAUUUAAUAAAACAUAAUUGCCUAUCAGCUAUCUAGGAAGUUGGAUUGUAACUAUGGGAAGUAUUUGAUACAAACAACUGUGACAUAGAUCUUUUACAGUAACUGGAUUUCUUGUUUCCAGCUUUUCACUUGGCCUAGUUUUAUAGCUUUAUUUAAAUAUUCCCCCAGGCCGGACGCUGUGGCUCACACCCAUAAUCCCAGCACUUUGGAAGGCUGAGGUGGACAGAUCAUGUGAAGCCAGCCUGGCCAACAGGGUGAAACCCUGUCUCCACUAAAAAUGCAAAAAUUAGCUGGGCGUGAUGGCGUGUGCCUGUAAUCCCAGCUACUUGAGAGGCUGAGGCAGGCGAAUUGCUUGAACCGGGGAGGCGAAGGUUGCAGUGAGCCAAGAUCGCGCCACUGCACUCCAGUCUGGGCGGCAGAGCAAGACUUCAUCUCAAAUAAAUAAAUAAAUAAAUAUUCCGCCAAAUUGUUGACUUCUUUUUGUGAUUGUAAAUGCUAGAAUUAAAUAAUUAUUUCUGAUCUGUCAAGUUAAAACCCUGAAUAUUAUCUUUUCACAUACAUAUAUAUGUUUGUGUGUGCAUAAAUAUACGAUAGCUUUUUUUCUCUUUCAAUCUGCUACUGAAAUAUUCUCACAAAAGCAAUAAAAUGGAACCUAAACAUC